GAUGAACGCUGACAGAAUGCUUAACACAUGCAAGUCCACUUGAACUCCGGUUUGGGUGGCGGACGGGUGAGUAACGCGUAAAGAACUUGCCUCACAGCUAGGGACAACAUUUGGAAACGAAUGCUAAUACCUGAUAUUAUGAUUAUAUGGCAUCGUAUAAUUAUGAAAGCUAUAUGCGCUGUGAGAGAGCUUUGCGUCCCAUUAGCUAGUUGGAGAGGUAACAGCUCACCAAGGCGAUGAUGGGUAGCCGGCCUGAGAGGGUGAUCGGCCACAAGGGGACUGAGACACGGCCCUUACUCCUACGGGAGGCAGCAGUGGGGAAUAUUGGACAAUGGACCGAGAGUCUGAUCCAGCAAUUCUGUGUGCACGAUGAAGUUUUUCGGAAUGUAAAGUGCUUUCAGUUGGGAAGAAAAAAAUGACGGUACCAACGGAAGAAGUGACGGCUAAAUACGUG
rnacentral:rRNA from 1 species